rnacentral:rRNA from 1 species
UACAGAGACUGCAAGCGUUAUUCGGAUUCACUGGGCGUAAAGGGUGCGCAGGCGGCCAAGUGUGUUAGGCGUGAAAGCCUGAGGCUUAACCUCAGAAUUGCACCUAAAACUACAUGGCUAGAGCAUUGGAGAGGGUAGCGGAAUUCACGGGUGUAGCAGUGAAAUGCGUAGUAUAUCGUGAGGAACACCAGAGGCGAAGGCGGCUACCUGGACAAUCGCUGACGCUCAGGCACGAAAGCGUGGGGAGCAAAAGGG